GAUGAACGCUGGCGGCGUGCCUAAUACAUGCAAGUCGAGCGAACAGACGAGGAACUUGCUCCUCUGACGUUAGCGGCGGACGAGUGAGUAACACGUGGAUAACCUACCUAUAAAACUGGGAUAACUUCGGGAAACCGGAGCUAAUACCGGGUAAUAUAUUGAACCGCAUGGUUCAAUAGUGAAAGACGGUUUUGCUGUCACUUAUAGAUGGAUCCGCGCCGCAUUAGCUAGUUGGUAAGGUAACGGCUUACCAAGGCAACGAUGCGUAGCCGACCUGAGAGGGUGAUCGGCCACCCUGGAACUGAGACACAGUCCAGACUCCUACGGGAGGCAGCAGUAGGGAAUCUUCCGCAAUGGGCGAAAGCCGGACGGAGCAAAGCCGCGGGAGGGAUGAAGGUCCUCGGAUCGUAAAACUCUGUUAUUAGGGAAGAACAAAUGUGUAAGUAACUAUGCACGUCUUGACGGUACCUAAUCAGAAAGCCACGGCUAACUACGUG
rnacentral:rRNA from 1 species